rnacentral:lncRNA from 1 species
AGCUCCAUCUCCCCACCCCCUGCACUCCCUCUGCUCCCCUCCCCUCCUCCGGCGCAGACCCUCCCCUCUCCCCUCCAGCCUGGACACGCCCGCCUCCCCUUGACUCCCCCCAGCUCUGGGCCCCCACCUCCCCUCCCCUCCAGCACAGUCACCCCCAUUUCUCUCCUAUCCGCCAUCCUGGUUCCUCCCUUCCCCCCACCUCCCAACUCUGUGCCCCGCCAACGUUUCCUAAAUGCCCUCUAUUCAGAUCCCCCCUCCGCCUCCCCUCUCCUCUCCUCCAUUCCUGCGUCCCCCUUCCCCCGCCGCGCCGCCUGGGCUGUCCGUGGACUUCUCCCACUCUCUCACUCUCUCACUCACUCUCUCUCUCUCUCUCUCUCUCUCACUCUCUCUCUCUCUCUCCCCCUCAUUUAUUUGGAACCGUUGGAUAAGAAGUGCUCGGGCUCUCGCUCAGACUUAGGGAGCUGCCUCGAGGUGAUGAAUGACACCCCCUGGCACCAGCUACCCUUCUCAGACCCCAGUCCAGCCCGCUCCCGACGUCGACUACGAUUCCGCUACCUCGGCUGGCAGCGAGGUUGGGGUGAGCCCCAGCUGCAGGCGCGUCUGGGCUGCGCCGCUGCAAACGAGUUGCGCACCUUGGGCGGCUCCGCACCUGCACCCGCACCCGCGGGGCUCAGCCCCGAAGGCUGCAGCUUCGGGGGAGGCGCGGUCGCCGAGGUCCAGCUGGUGGGGCGAGAGACGUCGCCCCUCGGAGGAUGCUCUCGGAACUUGGGAGAGGAAGGAGGGAAGAGAAGAGGGGAAAGGGGCCGUCGAUGUUUUUGAUGUCUGUGCUUUAAUGGAGGCCACCAAUAUUGAGAAGACGGGGUUGGCCGAGGCAGCCCGCACGCUGCUGCUUGCGAGCGCUCGAGUCAAAGCUAGGGCCAACCGCGGCUUGUCCGGGUGCCCUAAGGGGGCGGACACUUGGUUUAGCACCGGGACACAGAAUAGCCACCGGGGUAGGAAGAUGCGUUCACUUUGCUUACCUGUUGGCAAGAGGGACAUACAAAAAUAACGUAACGUGACAUCGUUGACAACGGUAGCUCUUUGAUUACACAAAAGCCAAUUUUACCUUCCCGCAAAAGCCAGUUGACGCCUUUGGAACUUUUAUUUGCGGCAUUUUGGCGCCCUCUGGCUGUGUUUGGAUCGCUUUCAUGCUCGCCUGCGUCCCAGCCAAGAAAAAAUCGAUGGAGCUGCAGGUUGUCCUCAGGAUGGUUCUGCCCUCAGGACCUGGGCGUGAAUUCAGGGACAGGGUGGCCCUCCAGAACCGGAGUGACAAACUGUAACCAUACUUAGGGAGGCAGACGUCAAAGGCAAGUACAUCUGUAUUCAACUGGGUAAAGGAAGAGUUUUUCAGCCUGGCGUGGUGGCUCACACCUGUAAUCCCAGCACUUUGGGAGGCCAAGGUGAGUGAAUCUCCUGAGUUCAGGAGUUCAAGGCCAGCCUGGACAACAUGGUGAAACCGUCUCUACCCAAAAUACAAAAAAUUAGCCCAGCAUGGUGGUGUGUGCCUGAGGUCCCAGCUACUCGGGAAGCUGAAGUGGGAGGAUUGCUCAAGCCUGGGAGGUGGAGGUUGCAGUGAGUCGAGGUCGUGCCACUGCACUCCAACCUGGGUGACAGAGUGAGACUCCAUCUAAAAAAAAAAUAGUUUUUCUACUUCUCUCUCCAGUGCUGUACACAGUAGGUGCUCAAUAUUUCUUUGUUGAGUGAGUGAAGGGGCAAAUGAAGACUGUGGUGAGAGGUGGGCCCUGGGACCCUCUGCCAUGUAGAUUUGUUCUUCCUUCCUCUUAGAUGACCCCAUUCAUCGUGCCAUUGCAGCCUAGGCCCUACUUAAUCCUGGGAUGUGGACUCGAGGUGAGCAUGCUCUUUGGGGAUCCACAGGCUCAAUGCUUAUUGAAGCACAGAUGGCUGGGCCAGCGGUGUGCUGGAGCCAGCUCCUCCUCUCAGCUCAGGAGAGCUUCUUGUGCACACCUCUUCCCAACUCCGCAGUCAAUAACAGCAGGUUCAUAUCUUACAAUCAGUCAUAGUGUAAGAAUUUAAACCACUGGAAUCAGCAACUUGAGGGUUUGUGUUUUCUGGAGAGCUGGUUGUUAAAUCUUUACUGGCACAUCACCUGCUACUUCCUAUCCCUAGAGUCCCUGAUUCAGUAACUCUUGGACGGGACCUGAUGAUUUACAUUUCUAACAAGUUCCCAGGGAAUGCUGAUUCUGCUAGUCCAGAAAGGACACUUUAAGAAACACUUGGAAGACGUGAAAUCUGUUGUCUGAUUUCAGGGCUCUCUGAUUUCAGACAACACACAACAGAUUCUUUCCUCCCGCCAAAAGCAUAAGUCAUCAUUGACAAGAGGAAUGCUAGCACUUUCAUCUAAGAAUGUUGACUGUAGAUGACCCUAUAUCAAAUCAAUACUAAUAAGAGCUAAUGUUUACAGAAUAUUGACUGUACACCAGCUGCUUACUGUCCUGCUCAUUUCAUGCAUUAAUUCAUUUAAUCCAAGAACCAUAGACAGCAGGUUCUACUAGUACAGUUGGGGCUGAAGCACAGACCAGUCAAAUAACUUGCCCAAGAUUAUACGGGGAGUAAGCGGAGUUGUGAAGAUGUGAAUAUGAGCAAUCUGGCUCCAGAGCCCAUGGAUUUAACUGCUGCACCACAAAUCACAGGAGACCUGACUGUAGUUCUGCCAAAUAUAAAAAUCUAGUAACCGUUCCCUUAAAAGAAGACUAAGAACUUCAAAGAAAACACACAAAAAGGAGAAUUUAAAUUUCCAAGUCUCUCCCAACUGGACUUCCAAGACGUAAAAGAAAAUGGAUAAAGAAGUUUUCAAUCUUCUCAUUGUCCUUCAGCAUCAUCAACAUGCAGGAGACCACACCAUCAGUUGAUGAGAAAGCCAGUCUCCUAGUCAGAGGCAUUGGCCUUAUUCAGCUGUGGGCUGUAACUUGAUGACCUGUCCUGGAUUCAUCUAGAAGUUGCUCCUUAUUUCUAAAUAACCAGCAGAAACUAUACCUCCAUUAAAUGUAGGUAGAACUUUACAACAAAUACAUAAAUAAACACCCAGCCGGGAGCGGUGGCUCACCCCUGUAAUCCCAGCACUUUGGGAUGCCGAGGUGGGUGGAUCACCUGAGGUCAGGAAUUUGAGACCAGCCUGGCCAACACGGUGAAGCCCGUCUCUACUAAAAAUACAAAAAUUAGCCUGGUGUGCUGGCGUGUGCCUGUAAUCCCAGCUACUUGGGAGGCUGAGGCAGGAGAGUCACUGGAACCCAGAAGGCGGAGGCUGCAGUGAGCCGAGAUCGUGCCACUGCACUCCAGUCUGGGCGACAGAGUGAGACUUCGUCUCAGAAAAAAAAAAAACCACACCCAUAUAUCUAGGUAAUCACUUAACAGAUACCAGUGGGAACCUCCCCAGAAGACAGUCCAUCUCUGUGGUUCUAAUCUGGGGACAGAAGGUCUUUCUUGGCUUUAGGUUAUGAUAGGAGGCUCAGUUGGCUGGGGAAUCACACUACUGAGGAAAAUGUCCACAGAUCCAAAGCUUAGCUUAGCUUGAGUCCUGUUGGCUAAAAAGGAAACAAUGCAAGCAGAAAAGUCUCAUAUCAUUUGAUCACCUCAAAUACACAUUAACAAGCCCAGAACCCAGUCAGAGUGGAGCUUAGAAAUCAGCAGUGUCAUCUUUCUUCUUAAAAUGUUGAUUCAUUUUAUUUUAUAAACCAACAUGAUGCCAAGGAAAGUGAUGACGGUCCGGUCUGUAAGGGAUGUUUAAACAACGUGUCCCAGAUCCAUCUUCUCCUUAAUAUUGAGAUUGGCGCCAUCUUGGUAAAUGCUCCAUAACUUUUCUCCUAGGCCCUAGUCUGUUCUCCCUGCCUCUAGGCUUUCACUUCUCCUGAUUACCUUUCUGAAUGUACAUCCCUGAUCCUUCUGAAUUCACGAUCAAUCCUCUCUGGAUUACUACUGCAUAUUGACUUAAGGUCAAACUCCCCAGCUUGGCAUUCAAGAAUUGAUAUGACCUAGCUUCUUUUUCUCUCUCCCAUUUUACCUCAAAACUAUCUUAAUUUCUAUGCCUAGAAAAUCAUGUCUUGGCCUAGCAAGGUGGCUCACGCCUACAAUCCCAGCACUUUGGGAGGCCGAGGCAGGCAGAUCACUUGAGGUCAGGAGUUCAAGACCAGCCUGGCCAACAUGGUGAAACUCCGUCUCUACUAAAAAUACAAAAAUUAGCCAGGCACAGUGGCAAGAACCUGUAACCCCAGCUACUUGGGAGGCUGAGGCAGGAGAAUCACUUGAACCUGGGAGGCGGAGGUUGCACUGAGUGGAGAUUACACCACUGCAUUCCAGCCUGGGCAACAAGGUGAGAGACUCUGUCUCAAAAAAAAAAAAAAAAGAAGGAAAAAGAAAAAAUCAUGUCUUGCCUAAGGAAGUUCCAAAGGCAUAGUCAAGUGAGACAAGUGUUUUAACUAGAGCAGCAAGACCCACAUAAAUAACCUUCGGAGAAUCAUAUUCAUAGCAAAGGAAAAGACAAAGCUGUAGGCAGCAAGAUAAACUAGAAAUCAAAGGAAUAGUCUGGGACAAAGUUUCAGAAAUAGAACAGCAUUAUGUGACAUUUCCCAUUUUCUAUGGUAGUUGGUACAUGAUGUCUGGACAAAUCUGGAACCUUAAAAGAACUGCGGGGCUGACACCCUAGGUCAACGCUUUUCAAACUUCCCUUUCUCUUAGAAAGUGAGUUUUAACUUUAAUAGGCUUCACCCCAGACCCAGAAAAGAUAUCAGGAAAUCUGAAUUUUUUUUUUUUUUGGAGAUACAGUCUCACUCUGUCGCCCAGGCUGGAGUACAGUGGCGCAAUCUCAGUUCGCUGCAACCUCUGCCUCCAGGGUUCAAGCGAUUCUCCUGCCUCAGCCUCCCGAGUACCUGGGACUACAGGCGCCCAUUACCAAGACUGCCUAAUUUUUAUAUAUUUGGUAGAGACGGGGUUUCACCAUGUUGGCCAGGCUGGUCUUGAACUCUUGACCUCAGGUGAUCCACCCGCCUCGGCCUCCCAAAGUGCUGGCAUUACAGGCAUAAGCCAUGACACCCGGCCAGGAAAUCUGAAUUUCAAUAAAUGCUUCAGGUAAUUCUAACGAUUGCUCAAGUUUGGGAAAAUUCUGACUUCACAUUAAAAUCACCAG